rnacentral:rRNA from 1 species
AGGUGCGAUCAUACCAGCACUAAUGCAUAGGAUCCCAUCAAAACUCCGUAGUGAAGCAUGCUUGGGUAAGAGUAGUACUAGGAUGGGUGACAUCUUGGGAAGUCCUCAUGUUGCACCGC